CAUUUCGGCUAACCCUUUCCGCAGACAAAUUCAUCACUGCUGCUCUACUUUUCCAAUCCGGCAGGAAACGACGGUGAGAGACGUGUCACAUCCUGCGGGCUGGACGAGGGAACAAUCGCGUCGAGCCGGUCCGAGGGAGGCGAUUGGAUGAGGCAGCUGUACGAUUAAGAGCGUUUUUUUUUUGUUUUUUGUUUUAUUCUUUUUCCUCUGAGGUCUGAGUGCGCUGUCAAGGGUCUGAGGUGAAGGGAGGAUGGCGACAGGGACGGGAAAUGGAGCAGGAUGUAGCUGACAGCGCCAUCUCCCACAGGAUGCUGGGAAAUGUAUGGCUGACAAAGGGCUCGGCUCGCGGUUAAUGGUCUGAAGCGUGGUCGGGGAGAGGAGGCCGACUUAAAUACCAAGACAAGAUAACAGUAAGAGUUGAAGGAAAAUGAGAGCUUACAUGUAAACAAUCUGGUACGUGCGAAGCGGCGAGGAGCUGUUGCCACAACUUUCCCACGUGUCUUCACUUCCCCGCACCUAAAAAGUCCCCAGCUGGCAGAGAAGCAUGAACGCUCAGCAGAGCCACCAGCAGAAUCCCAAAAGAACAGAGUCAACAGCAGGAAAACCUCAAGACCUCCAGACGUGCCGAAUGUGAACGAGCAGGCGUACGCACGGUCUGAGCUUCUCGUGGAUCCAAAGCACUGCCACAUGGGCUGCUUUGCAUCUUAACUGACCUCUUCCUCAAAGCCAGAUUCACACUAACGUACGAUGCUGCCCGUUUGCGCAGCGGUGACUAAUCAGCUCCACGUUCCAUCCUCGCAAAUAGAAAUAAUCAAACGAGCAGCGAUGAUAGCGCCUCUGUUCACUAUGAUUGACUGGAUAAGAUGCUAAAUGAAAGAAGAGGGAGGAGGUUCAUCAGCACCAGAUGCAGCGACACCUGAGUGAUGCACAGAACCUACAUAUGAUCCUCCUGUUGGAAUAUUUGAGCUAAUGUUGCAUCUGCUUCAAUUACACAAAAAUUCCACAUUCUGUUCUGUGGAAACGUGACCCGACUGAGUUCACCGUGUCCCGCUGACCCACGGGGAGAAGCCUUAGAGUGGAUGUGGGUGCACAUGUGACUUCUGGUGUUACUACGAUUCCUGAGUGGCCGGUAGACGUGAGCUCACACAAUGGGCCUCUGUGUGAGAGCGAGCGAUGGGGAGAAGGGAUUAAAAGGGAGAGAAGCCGAAACGGACAGCGCCACAUGUUAGACUGGACUUUGUGCACUGUAAAAAAAAAAAUAGGGUGAAAAUCUGUCAGCAAGAGCGCCAGAAAAUAUACAUUAAAUACUAUAAUGUUCAAACACUGUUCAAAAAUAAUGAAAAUAUUGGCAAAUAUCUGUAACGUAAUUAUACUUUUAGUAGGUUUAUAUACAGGAAAAUCAUUCUAUGUGACACAGU